rnacentral:rRNA from 1 species
UACGUAGGGGGCAAGCGUUGUCCGGAAUCAUUGGGCGUAAAGAGCGUGUAGGCGGUUCAGUAAGUCUGCUGUGAAAGUCCAGGGCUCAACCCUGGGAUGCCGGUGGAUACUGCUGGGCUAGAGUACGGAAGAGGCGAGUGGAAUUCCCGGUGUAGAGGUGAAAUUCGUAGAUAUCGGGAGGAACACCAGUGGCGAAGGCGGCGAUCUGGGUCGAUACUGACGCUGAGGUGCGAAAGCGUGGGGAGCAAACAGG